GUCGUGCCGAGUGGUUAAGGCGAUGGACUAGAAAUCCAUUGAGGUCUCCACGCACAGGUUUGAACCCUGGCGACUGCG
rnacentral:tRNA from 1 species